AUGCUGCCGUGCCCUCUGGCUGCUGAAGGGCACGUGGAUGGCCCCUCACGUCCCCUGUCAGGACGAAGCCCGCCUUCGGGGACCACCCCGGCCCGCAGCGGGGAGCCAGCCACCGGCACCACCGCCACAAGGCAGCCGGUGCUCGCGCUGUCACACGCGGCUGCCAUGGAAACGGUGACACUGUCACAAGCAGCCGUCCUCCAGCCCCGGGCACCCGGGUACCACGCGUCCGGCGGCCCCGCUGGCACCGCAGGCGUGUGGAGCUGGGGCAGGGGCUCCUGGGGCUGCCGGCGGGACGUCCUGCCCCGACGGGAGGGGACGGAGCAGCGGCUGCGUGGGCACAGCACGGGCAGGCGCACGGGUACGGAUGGCCCACCCCAUCGCCUGCUGCUGAGCCCCCCCAGGCACGAACCACUAAUUGGGACAAAUGCUGGAAAAACGGAGACGGGCCCAAAGCCUGCAGACUGGCCCCAGGUUUUGGAGCAGGUGAGCUCCCCGUGGGAUCAGUUGGAGGCACCAGGGAGGUUUCACCCUGUCUGGGACGCGGUCGGGGCCUCUCCCACGCUGGCUGUCCAGGCCUGGCAACCCACGAGCAUCUGUGGCUGCUGCUCCCUGCUGCAGCCCCGUCCCCGCGCCUCUGUGCGCAAAAUGCACGGAGGUGAGAUCCCCAUCGAUGUGGACAAGGAUGGUGACGGAAAAGUGACAGUGCAAACAGCAAAGAGCAGCUGGGGAGAUGCUAAGCUCUGGCAAGCAGUGGAGCAUCCGUCGGGACUGUGUCGGCAAAGGGCUCGGAGGGACAGCGGGGUGCAUCCCAGCCCAGUGCUGUCACACAGCCCCGCUGCCUCCUGGGCAGGAGCUGGGGCUGGACCGAAACUAUUUGUAGUUCCCAUCAAAAGGCAAGCUAAGGAUGCAAAAGCUUUGCUGGCUUGGCUUUGUGCGGGUGAUACAGAGGCUUGUGAGAUGAUAACCACAGAGAUCGUCUGCUGCGGCAUCACUGCCUGA
rnacentral:lncRNA from 1 species